rnacentral:snoRNA from 1 species
GUGUCAGAAAUGAUGAAUAUCUUCAUGUCUGACUCUUUGGUGAAGAGAUUGUUUUGAUAUCUGAUCUUCCUGGACUC